UCCUUCAGCUCCGGUGAAGUUCCUGGACAAGGCAAGGACACUGCUCUUUUUGAAGAAACUCUGCUUGGCCGCGUUCAGAAGACUUUUGUCUGGGUCUGCUCACUGGAAGGCGGAAAGCUGACUUGUCUUAAAUUUUUGAGGACCCAGCAGUGCCUGUGGGUGGAAGGGAAAACUAACGAAGAAGCCCCUAUGGAAGCUUUUGGGGAAUGACACCAUUGUGAGCCACAUCCUUCUGAAGGAUGGGGUUCUUGGUACAAGGGCCAUGAUUAGAGCAGGUAGGAGAGGCACCGGGUAAGUUAUUCUGCUUCUGGCUGCCUGGUGGGAUUUUACUGACUAUCAGAGAUGACCAGCUAAGCUGAUGGCAUAUAAUGGGGACAGGAUGAGGAAGUGGAACAGCAGACUGACUCUCCCUCUUAACUUCUGGAAGAAUGCACGGGUCACACAGGUGAGACUAGGACCCAGGUCAAUGGGAAGAGAUGGAGGAGGAAGUCUGGGCCUCGGAGCCAGGAGACUGGACUAUCAGUCUUAUCAUCGAGGUGUUGUGUGACCUUGGGCAAGUUGUCUUACCUCCUAAGCCAUAGAUUCUCUCCCCGUUGGACGAGGAUUUUGAACUGGGUAGGCUCCAGGGCCCUGAUAUUUUCUGAAUCACAAUAAGUUAUGAAGUGAGGCCUUCAGGCAAGUCCCCUUGUUUAUAGUGGCAGAGCAAUGGGUAAAUGCCGUGGCAGAUCUUUGGAUAACUGAGGAGAGGUGGGGGGUGGGAUGGGGAGAGGGUGCACAAGAGCAUUAAUUGCAAAGACAGAGUCCUGAAGACAAGCUAUAGGAUCUCCCAUCCAGGCUCUCCCCUCUGCCAGCCUCUGCUGGGGGAUGUCACGGGCACCUCAGUCCUCUGGGACGUUUCAAAGAGUCAGGAGAGGCCAGGCCAGGCUGCAGUAACAAAUCGAUACUGAAAUCUUAGUGGCUUAACCCAAACCAAAGUUUGUUUCUUGCUCACAGAAUUCUGGUGAGCAGCUGCCCUCCAAGUGAUGACUGAGCAAUUCAUACUUUUUCUAUCCUGUAGCUCUGCUGUCUUUACACACUGCUUUCUGAGUCAGGGCUGCAGAGCGUGAAACACGCACACUAGCUUUUAACUAUAUAUAACUCGUACUCAUGGGCCAUUCGCCAGAAUGGUCUCGUGGCUCCAACUCAACCAAGGGGACAGGGUAGUAAAUCCCCCACGUACCUAGGAAGAAAAGAAGAACAUGUUAGUGAGUCCUGACCUGGAGAGGAUCCAGCUCCUGUAACGACUGAGGCCUUGUGAGUAUUCCAAGGAACUCCGUCCACUGCCUGUGACUUAGAACAUCUGCGUGAAUACAGAAAAGUUCAGCCGGACACCUGGAUGCUCUGUCCAGUCGAUACUCGACAUCUGAGGGUUUCCAGAAGCCUCCAAGCCUGGGGCCACGUCUGCACAGUUCAGGGAGAGGAAGUUUGACUCACUUGAGUUAUUUGAUCCAUGUGGACAGGCGCUGUGGGUCCCCAGGAAGCCACAGCAGCAUUCUUGAUCGCCCAGUGGUCUGUGGCUGAGGUUUCUGCCGAGAUCAUUGCCAAAGCCCACUUCCUUGUGUUCUGGAGAUUUCAGGCAUCGCUAAAACUGUCCUCUCACCUGCCCCGAAUCCACCUGCAAUGGACAGUGAGGCUGCUUCCUCAGCAUCCGUCUCCUCUUCUUCUAGGAGCUACCUCAGUUCACACUUCACCAUCCCCCCUUGCCUGCACAGUCCAAGCUUUUAGGGGAACUUCUGAUGGUGAGGCAUGUGGCUCAUACCUGGAAUAAUCACGAUAAUCCCUUCCCCACUGCUGGCCACAGUUACACACUCAGAGUUAGACACAUGGUCCAAUUGGGGAUCUGAUGAGGCCUUCCAGCCAUGAGAGAGGGACCUCUCUCUCUGAGCUAUGAGGAGGUGUUGGCAACCUUCGUGUGACCCUGAGAAGGACCCAAAUCAGGAUACAGCUGACAGCAGAAAAACUGAAACUUGAUGGCAUCAUUGAGCUGCUGGAUUAAACCAAACCUGCAGCCCACCCUCACUUUGAACUUGCAGUUGAAUGAAAAUAAGCCAAGUCUGAGAGAAAUCUUUGCAAAUUGUAUAUCUGAAAAAGGACUUGUUAAUAAAGGAUGAAGAACUCUCAAAACUCAACAAGAAGAAAACAAACCACUCAGUUUAAAAAUGCGCAAAAGUUUGAACAGACUCUUCACCAAAGACGAUAUCUGGGUGGCAAAUAAGCACAAAAAACGUGCUCCAUUUUAUUAGUUGUUAGGGAAAUGCAAACUUAAACCACAAUGAAAUAUCAUUAUAUACCUACUAGAAUGGCUAAAAUUAGUGAGUGACCAUAACAAGUAUGUUGGUAUAUUAGUCAGGGUUUUCCAGAGAAACAGGACCAAUAGGAUGUAUAUGAGGAUAUUUACUAUAGGAAUUGGCUCCUGCUGUUAUGGAGGCUGAGAAGUCCCACAGUCUGCCUUCUGCCAGCUGGAGAACCAGGUAAGCUGCUGGUGUAAUUCAGUCUGAGUCCAGAAGCCUGAGAACCAGGACCCCCAAUGUCCAAGGGCAGGAGCAGAUGGAUGUCCCAGCUCAAGAAGAGAGAGAAAGAGACAGAGAAUUUGCCCUUCCUCCACCUUUUUGUUCUAUCCCGACCCUUGGUGGACUGGAUGAUGCCCCCCAAU
rnacentral:lncRNA from 1 species